rfam:Euryarchaeota archaeon RBG_16_68_13 RBG_16_scaffold_3712, whole genome shotgun sequence.
GCGUUGAUGCCUGAGGGGAAGGUCCCUUAAGUACGAGAGGAACGGGGGAUCGGCGCCUCUAGUGUAUGGGUUGUCUGGCAAGGCAUUGCCCAGCAGCCACGCGCUAUGCGGAUAACGGCUGAAAGCAUCUAAGCCGGAAACCGCCCUCAAGACGAGGCAUCUUACCGCCGCCAUAUUCGAUGGCGUCGAUAGAGCGGGGGUGUACGCACGAAGCUCGCAAGGGCGACGUGUUCAGCCCGCCGCUACUAACCGCGGUAGCCACAUCAGCA